rnacentral:rRNA from 1 species
UACGGAGGGGGCGAGCGUUAUUCGGAAUUAUUGGGCGUAAAGGGCGCGUAGGCGGCCCGGUAAGUCAAAGGUGAAAUCCCUCGGCUCAACUGAGGAACUGCCUUUGAAACUGUCGGGCUUGAGGCCGGGAGGGGGUGGCGGAAUUCCCAGUGUAACGGUGAGAUGCGUAGAUAUCUGGAGGAACACCGGUGGCGAAGGCGGCAUCCUGGACCAAUAUUGACGCUGAGGAGCGAAAGCUAGGGGAGCAAACGGG